rnacentral:lncRNA from 10 species
AUUUUACUUGCAGUGUGGGCAGCUGGACUGGAGUGGAGAAUUUUACCCUGUGCCUCCCUGGCAGGGAGAGAAGAGAAGAGGCCCAUGACUGGCUCCUACAGAGUUUGACUCUUUGCUUCGACACUACCGUCUGCAAGUUCUUGUGCUAGCCGCUGUGGGAAAGACACAGCUGAGUCAGACAUGAUCCCUGCCCUCAAGGAGCUUGUGACACCACAGUGAAGACAAGUCUAUUUUGGUGCUGAAGGGAAACAGAUGAAGAACAUGACCUCAAGGAGCUUCCUGUCAAUGAGAAGACCAAGCUGACGCCUGGCAAAGAUAUUAAAGAGGAGCCUGAAACUGUUCCUUGGACAUCUUAUGAAUGUCAGAAAAUACCUUUUGGAGGGUUAGAAGAUCAGGGGACAUGGUUGUUCACAUUUGCUGCCACGGAACACCGCCAGUCUUCACUUGGAAACAGAAUCACGCCUUGUGAAGAGAUCAUCCCUAAGCAGGAGAGAAGCUACUAAAGGAUUGUGUCCUCCUCCACCUUCCCUGUGCUCGGUCUCCACCUGU